CCUACGGGAGGCAGCAGUGGGGAAUAUUGGACAAUGGGCGAAAACCUGAUCCAGCAAUGCCGCGUGAGUGAUGAAGGCCCUAGGGUUGUAAAGCUCUUUUACCCGGGAUGAUAAUGACAGUACCGGGAGAAUAAGCUCCGGCUAACUCCGUGCCAGCAGCCGCGGUAAU
rnacentral:rRNA from 2 species